UACGGGGGGAGCAAGCGUUGUUCGGAUUUACUGGGCGUAAAGGGCGCGUAGGCGGCCACCGCAAGUCGACUGUGAAAUCUCUGGGCUUAACCCAGAAAGGUCAGCCGAUACUGCGGGGCUAGAGUGCAGAAGGGGCAACUGGAAUUCUCGGUGUAGCGGUGAAAUGCGUAGAUAUCGUGAGGAAUACCAGAGGCGAAGGCGGCUACCUGGACAAUUGCUGACGCUCAGGCACGAAAGCGUGGGGAGCAAAAGGG
rnacentral:rRNA from 1 species